CAUGUUCUCAGCAGCUCAGAAACAAUCAUGUCUUAAACAGCAUUUCAUUUUUUAAUUGAACUUUUAGAUAAUAAUUGGUUAAAAUAUUUCAAUACCUCAAUGAAUAAUCUCUCAGUAAUCAGUUCUUGGGAGUCCUGCAUAGAAUCUUACUCCCCUAACCCCAUCAGAUAUCUUCUGAUGCACCUCUCACUCCUUCAGGUACAUGGAUGAAAGGUCAACAAGGAUGGAGUUGUGCCAAAGAAGCAGUGGCCUGUUGGCUGGGAUCGCCAUUCAAACUGCGGCCACAAGGUACCCGCCUUGUUUUACCUGCUUUGGGCAUGUUAUAGCACGUGUGGAUGCUCAACUUGGCUACCCUCUACUUGUUAUGACACACAUCAGGAUCAAGGGGGUUAUGAACGCUUCUGGCCAAAAGGCAAAGUAUCCAGCCAUCAUUUCCAUGCUCAAGGUUUUCUGUCCACAGCAUCUGGUGGAUGAGGCUUCUUGUUACAGUGCAUCGUCUUGAUUUUUGAACA